CCACAUAUUAGUCGCAACUCAUUGAGAACUCGAAUACGGUGCAUUUCAGCGGACACUGAAUGAAGUGGCGUUCGAGGGCGGGCGGCGGCCCUCCCGCCCCCUUACAAGCGGCAGCGAUUUUUUACAAACAACUUCCUUACCUACCAAAAUAAGUUUAAACACGAUUCAUGUAAAAACUUAGGCCUGAUUAACAUGUAAUCUUACACAGAUUUUUUUAACGUCAAGGAAAAAGUAAGAAAAUGUGACUGCAUUUAGAUCGAUUAUCGGCUCGCUUUUGACGCUCAUAACUCGCGGCAAGCAUCCCCCCGCGACGUCCGCCCCGCCCUCUCGACCAGCCGAGUGCUGAUUGUGUGGUCGUCGAGUCAGCCGGAGGCCUUCGCGGCGCUGACACCGCACUCUGCUCCGCGGGAAUUUAUAAAGUUUCGACAUGGAUACGGAAGAGUUCAGGGUUCGGGGGAAGGAGAUGGUGGAUUACAUCUGCACGUAUAUGACGACGCUGCGUAAGCGCCGCGUGACGCCGUCGGUGGAGCCGGGCUACCUGCGCGCCGCGCUGCCCGCCGAAGCUCCUCAGCACCCUGAGGACUGGGAUACGGUUAUGGACGACGUGGAGAAGAAGAUCAUGCCCGGCGUCACGCACUGGCAGCAUCCGCGCUUCCACGCCUACUUUCCUUCGGGCAACGCGUAUCCGUCUAUCUUGGGCGAUAUGCUGUCUGCUGGCAUCGGAUGCAUUGGAUUCUCAUGGGCGGCCAGCCCAGCCUGCACAGAGCUGGAAAUCAUUAUGCUGGAUUGGAUGGGUAAAGCAAUCGGUCUGCCGCCGGCGUUCCUCGCACUCGAGCAAGGGAGUAAAGGCGGCGGCGUUAUUGAGGGUUCAGCGAGCGAAUGCGUGCUAGUAUCCAUGCUCGCCGCCCGCGCCAACGGCAUCAAGCGCCUCAAACACCAGUUCCCCAACGUAGACGAAGGCCUUCUGCUCUCCAAGCUUAUCGCCUAUUGCUCCAAGGAGGCCCACUCCUGCGUCGAGAAGGCCGCCAUGAUCUGCUUCGUCAAACUACGCAUUUUACAGCCCGAUGAGCACGGCUCGCUGAGGGGCGAGACACUUAAGCAGGCGAUGGAAGAAGACGAAGAGGCCGGUCGCGUGCCUUUUUUCGUAUCCCUGACGCUGGGCACGACCUCGUGCUGCUCGUACGACGACCUGCCCGGGAUCGGCCCCAUCGUGCGCAAGUACCCCUGUGUGUGGCUGCAUGUCGACGCGGCCUACGCUGGCGCCGCGUUCCUCUGUCAGGAGCACAAGCACCACCUGGCCGGAGUCGAGUACGCGGAUAGCUUCAACACCAACACUAACAAGCUCAUGCUUACUAACUUCGACUGUUCACUGCUGUGGGUUACCAACAGGUACCUGCUAACAUCAGCGUUAGUAGUGGACCCACUGUACCUCCAGCACUGCUACGACCACACUGCCAUCGACUACCGCCACUGGGGCAUCCCGCUGAGCCGGCGCUUCCGCUCGCUCAAGCUGUGGUUCAUGCUGCGCAGCUACGGCAUCAGCGGCCUGCAGCGCUACGUGCGCCGCCACUGCGAGUUGGCCAAGUACUUCGAGCAACUCGUUAGAAAAGACGACCGGUUCGAGGUCUGCAACAAAGUGACGCUGGGUCUCGUAUGCUUCCGACUAGUGAGCGGCGGCGAGACUCCCUCGGAGCAAGACGAGAUCAACAAGAAACUCCUUACCACAAUGAACGCGUCCGGAAAAAUCCACAUGGUGCCUGCGAAUGUGCGCGAUCGCUUCGUCAUCCGUUUCUGUGUUGUGGCGCAACACGCUACGCGCGAAGAUAUCGAAACUGCGUGGGAUAUAAUAACGGACUUCGCAACAGAACUUCUCGAAGGACCGGAUAAAGAAAGGGAUCUCAACGAGGAGCGCGCUCGACGGCACCGCGCUGCACUCGCCCACAAGCGCUCGUUCUUCGUGCGUAUGGUCAGCGACCCAAAGAUCUACAAUCCGGCCAUCAACAAGACCCCGCCGCCCGUGCCCGCCACGCCGGGGUCGCCGCCCCCCGCGCCCGCGCCGCAGACCCCCGACACGCCGUGCAACGACGGCGUGCAGCUUGAGCCGCCCACGCCGUACGUAUCUUCAUCAACAAGACCCCGCCGCCCGUGCCCGCCACGCCGGGGUCGCCGCCCCCCGCGCCCGCGCCGCGGACCCCCGACACGCCGUGCAACGACGGCGUGCAGCUUGAGCCGCCCACGCCGUACGUAUCUUCAUCAACAAGACCCCGCCGCCCGUGCCCGCCACGCCGGGGUCGCCGCCCCCCGCGCCCGCGCCGCAGACCCCCGACACGCCGUGCAACGACGGCGUGCAGCUUGAGCCGCCCACGCCGAAACAAGCAUCCUGGAUCAGCUGGCCGCUGGCGUUCUUCUUCCAGAGCGUUGACCACGACGCAAACGAUUUACCAUUAAGGUUCCGGCACCUGGACACGAUGGUGCGCCUCAAGAGCCCCGGCGCGGCGGGGCGGCGCGGCUCGUCGCCCGGGGCCUCGCCCGAGCGCCGCGCGCCCUCGCCCGCGCAUUGACCCCGCUACCCACCCGCGUAAACCAAUAAACUACUUGAGCAUU